rnacentral:rRNA from 1 species
GACGAACGCUGGCGGCGUGCUUAACACAUGCAAGUCGAGCGGUAAGGCCCUUUCGGGGGUACACGAGCGGCGAACGGGUGAGUAACACGUGGGUGACCUGCCCUCAGCUCUGGGAUAAGCCCGGGAAACUGGGUCUAAUACCGGAUACCCCCACUUGAUCGCAUGGUCGGGUGAGGAAAUGAAUUUUGUCUUCGGGAGGGGCUCGCGGCCUAUCAGCUAGUUGGCGGGGUAACGGCCCACCAAGGCGUCGACGGGUAGCUGGUCUGAGAGGACCGGCCAGCCACACUGGGACUGAGACACGGCCCAGACUCCUACGGGGAGGCAGCAGGUGGGGAAUCUUGCGCAAUGGGCGAAAGCCUGACGCAGCAACGCCGCGUGGAGGAUGAAGGUCUUCGGGUUGU